rnacentral:lncRNA from 1 species
CUGAUUGUCAAAACAGCACUGAAUGAUAGAUGAGGCUUUACGUGGUUUUCCCCCUCAUUUUCAGUGUUGGAUGACCAUGGGCUUUUGCGGCGCUAUAGCGGACAAUCAAUUGUUUUUUGCAAAUAGGAAAAGAACAGACGUUUUACCUCAACUAAGAACCCAUUCGAUCUAGACCUGGGAGCAAUCAUGGUUGACUGACGUGCUAAGGACCAUGCUUGUUUACUGGCGCCAUGCUCUUGACCACUAGGCUACUUGCCACCCCACUUGCCUGCAUCAAUAUGCAACAGUAUAUUUGCAGAGAGUUUCGCAGAAAAAUUCUAUUGGAGGAUGUUCUGUAGGGCAAUGCCUCUAAUCUUUGCCUAUUUUUGUUCUGUUUUUCACGGGAAGUCACCCACUGAGUGAAAAUCGGUAUACUUGUCGUUGUGGAAGGAGCUGCAGCAGAUGACCCAAUGCCAGUUGACAGUGUGGACGUUGGCCUUCCUUGUCGUUGUGGAUGGAGCUGCAGCAGAUGACCCAAUGCCAGCUGACAAUGUGGACGUUGCCCUUGUGAUAGAAGAGCAGAGUUCCCAUUGUCUUGAAAUCACCAUAAAUCCAGAGAAUGCCAGACUUUGAUAAAGUUUGAUGACAAAAUUUGCCCACGAGAAGGACCGUCGCUCCACCUUCCUGUUCAAGAGAGCACAGCACAACAAGGCCUACCCCUCUUCCCUGUCAUCGAUGUCCAACCGGCAAACAUGGUGAGGCGCCUCCUGAAGGUUCGACCACUGGGCAGGGGAUUCCAAUACCUGGUAGACUGGGAGGGUUAUGGCCCAGAGGAGAGGUGCUGUGUCCCCGCCAGGGACAUUCUGGACCCAGACCUCAUCGCUGAGUUCCAAUGUCGGCACCCUGGUCAACCAGGUAUGUGCCCAGUUAGGACGCCAGGUGGCGCCCCUAGAGGGGGGGGGGUACUGUCACACCCUGAUUUGAUUCACCUGUCUUUGUGCUUGUCUCCACCCCCCUCCAGGUGUUGCCCAUCUUCCCCAUUAUCCCCAGUGUACAGUACUUAUCCCUGUGUUCUCUGUUUGUCUGUUGCCAAUUCAUUUUGUUUCGUCAAGUUUUUUCCCUUGCUCCUGUCUGUCUCUUGUUCCUGCUUUCUAGCUUUCCCGGUUUUGACCAUUCUGCCUGCCCUGACCCUGAGCCUGCCUAUUGUUCUGUACCUUGCCAUUCCACCCUGGAUUACUGACCUCUGCCUGCCCUGACCUUGAGCCUGCCUGACUUUCUGUACCUUUCGGACUCUGCUUUGGACUACUGACCUCUGCAUGCCCUUGACCUGUCGUUUGCAUGCCCCCCUGUUUCAGUAAUCAACUUUUGUUACUUCGAAACUGUCUGCAUCUGGGCCUUCUCUUGAGCCUUGACACCAAGUCAGAACCGUAGGAUAAAUAAAGGGGGCAUAUGAGCAGACAAUGAAAGCUCUUACAAUAUUCAAUGAUGGCAUUUCUCUAAAACAGGCUAUAUGUGGACCACUAAGUCAGAACAGUAGGCUAAAUUGAUGGGGAAAGGGACCAAAUUAUUAGGGUGAGGCACAUGGGCUACUAACAGCUUACUACACAACAUACACUUAGUAUUACUUUCUUAGCUACAGUCUACAUAUCUCCCUGGCAUAUUACAUAAUUUAUGUAGCGGCAUUCAAGACAUUUUUGGACCUUGUUGUGCUGUGCUCACUUGAACAUGAAAGUGGUGCGAUGGUCCUUUGUGGGAAAAUGUUGUCAUUAAAGCCCAUAUUCCCUGGAUUUAUUGUGCUUUCAAGACAACUGGGAACUCUGAAAAAAAACAAGGUUGAAUAAUGACGUCAGUGAUAUUCAGGUCGAAGAUCUAGAAAGAGGCCUGAGUUCCCAACUUGGAAUUGUGAGUUGGAUGACCGUUCAAAACUUUUUUUUCCCAGUCUGAGCUCGUUUUUUUCAGAGAUCCCAGUUGUCUUGAACUCACUGAAGUCUGAGAUUUUCCAGUUCCAAAUUUCCAGUUGUUUUGAACGCGGCAGAAGUCAUGAUGGAUUGACAGCAUGGCCAAUGUAUUCAACAUUUUAGGCUAAUAAAUAACUCAUUCACUCGUGCUGUAUUCAACCUUUUCUGGGCCAUGGUGUUGCAUGUGAAUGUUUAUCCUUUUAAGCUUGAAAAGAGACCUUUAAACUCAAACUUGGACCACACACCCACUCCACUGAAUAGCAGGCUAGUGAAUGCUUUGCAACGCUUGCAGUUAGCUACUGAUUCCUUCCAAACCACUCAUUGUUGAAUAAGCGAUUUCCAACUUGUUGUGUAAUGUUUAUGUCCAAUGGCCAAUGAGUAAAGAUUUGUAUCUAUUUUUAUCUGAUCUUGAGCCCUCUUGGAUGGGCACUUCUAAUGUAACUCUAUGGCAGCACCCAAGGGACUUGAAUUACGGAUGCACAACCACUAUGGAUGCACAACCACUGAGGGACA